rnacentral:pre_miRNA from 1 species
AGAGGAAUAGCUGGGUCAAAUAGUGGUUCCAUUCCCAGAUUUCCAAGGAAUCUCCAUACUGCUUUCCAUAUUGGCUGCACCAAUUUGCAGUCCCACCAGCAAU